rnacentral:lncRNA from 1 species
UCAUAGUUUUCUUUAUGGAUCUGUAAGUCAGAGGCUUUGGAAGGCAAGUUACUUGCUGUAGGUCAUUCUUCAAAGGGAGGCGAAGAUAAACAUGAAGGGAAGGUGAACGUCAUGGAGUAAGUUAACACCGGACUUGUAUAGUUACAUUGGCAGGGCUCGUGUCUUUCAAAGCACUCAAUCUUUACUUCCUGAUUUCUACACAUGUCUAAAUGUUUUCAAAGGGAGUUCUAAGAACUCCAUCUGUGCCUGGUAGUAAACUAGACAAGGCUCAGACCAUUCACUGUAGCAAACAGAAGUCACUGAAACCUGGAGAUUAGAUAUAAAGGAUGUGCACUGUCAUCCACACAGUCCACAGAGUCCUGUGAAGUUUCUAUGUUGCUGGUUAUUGGAUGUUUGCUAUCCUCCAGCACCAUCAGUCACUAUCCUUGGUUCUUGUUUUGAGCCUGAACCUCAUUGAGGACCUGCUAGAAAGGCAGUCUGAGUAGAUCUCUGGUCAUAGAAGAUAACAAGAAAGAUGAGACCCAUGAAGGUAACCUAGAACUCAUGAAGGACUGAAGCCUUUGAGGAUACACUGGAUGUGCACAUGUCUUACCGUCUCCAGCCUUAGUAGCACCAGUAUCCUGCAGAGGAGCUCAAUGGUCUGAAAAUGUACAUGACUUGAGACUUGAAGAACCAUUGGUGGAGACCGAGGAGUUCCAUGUGCAGAUGAUGUCCUAUGCAGCAGGAUGAGCCAGCAGAUGACAGGCAACAUGACACUUGCUCAAUCGCAAGCGAGUGCUUGUCACAAGGAUUCUGGAUGGUGUUUUCUUCUGGAAGAUACAAGGAAACUGAACCAUUCAGCUCCUCCAAGGCUUCAGGCAUCUGCAUGGAAGGCACAGCAAGAGGAGAGACAGUGUCAGUGCAUCCACUGCUCCACCACAGUCUGAUUUCUCAUUAGGAAAAUGAAAGGGCUCCCAGGAAUUCGGAGACCUGCAAAGAAGGAGGUUGAAACAGCUUUCAAAUG